CGGUGAAGGCGGAGCUUGCUCUGCUGGAUCAGUGGCGAACGGGUGAGUAACACGUGAGCAAUCUGCCCCUGACUCUGGGAUAAGCGCUGAAAACGGCGUCUAAUACUGGAUACGAGCUGCGAAGGCAUCUUCAGCAGCUGGAAAGAAUUUCGGUCAGGGAUGAGCUCGCGGCCUAUCAGCUUGUUGGUGAGGUAAUGGCUCACCAAGGCGUCGACGGGUAGCCGGCCUGAGAGGGUGACCGGCCACACUGGGACUGAGACACGGCCCAGACUCCUACGGGAGGCAGCAGUGGGGAAUAUUGCACAAUGGGCGAAAGCCUGAUGCAGCAACGCCGCGUGAGGGAUGACGGCCUUCGGGUUGUAAACCUCUUUUAGCAGGGAAGAAGCGAAAGUGACGGUACCUGCAGAAAAAGCGCCGGCUAACUACGUGCCAGCAGCCGCGGUAAUACGUAGGGCGCAAGCGUUAUCCGGAAUUAUUGGGCGUAAAGAGCUCGUAGGCGGUUUGUCGCGUCUGCUGUGAAACCCCGAGGCUCAACCUCGGGCCUGCAGUGGGUACGGGCAGACUAGAGUGCGGUAGAGGAGAUUGGAAUUCCUGGUGUAGCGGUGGAAUGCGCAGAUAUCAGGAGGAACACCGAUGGCGAAGGCAGAUCUCUGGGCCGUAACUGACGCUGAGGAGCGAAAGGGUGGGGAGCAAACAGGCUUAGAUACCCUGGUAGUCCACCCCGUAAACGUUGGGAACUAGUUGUGGGGUCCAUUCCACGGAUUCCGUGACGCAGCUAACGCAUUAAGUUCCCCGCCUGGGGAGUACGGCCGCAAGGCUAAAACUCAAAGGAAUUGACGGGGACCCGCACAAGCGGCGGAGCAUGCGGAUUAAUUCGAUGCAACGCGAGAACCUUACCAAGGCUUGACAUACACG
rnacentral:rRNA from 1 species